rnacentral:rRNA from 1 species
AUUGACCGCUGGCGGCAGGCCUAACACAUGCAAGUCGAGCGGAGCGGGGACGGGUGAGUAACACGUGGUUAACCUCCCCAUCAGAGGGGAAAACACUUGGAAACAGGUGCUAAACCGAUAUUGAUGGGUGGUCCCGCGGUGCAGUAGCUAGUUGGGGGGGUAACGGCUCACCAAGGCCACGAUGCAUAGCCGACUUGAGAGGGUGAUCGGCCACACUGUGACUGGGACCCGGCCCAGACUCCUACGGUAGGCAGCAGUAGGGAAGCUUCGGCAAUGGACGAAAGUCUGACCGAGCAACGCCGCGUGAGUGAAGAAGGUUUUCGGAUCGUAAAACUCUGUUGUUAGAGAAGCGUUAUCUAACCAGAAAGCAACGGCUAACUACGUGCCAGCAGCCGCGGUAAUUC